CCACAUUUGCCACAGUGAUAUGGCUUCUCUCCAGUGUGGACUCUGAGAUGGAUGCGAAGAUCUGAGCUCUGGCUGAAGCCCUUCCCACACUCAUAGCACUGGAGGGAAGAUGGAUGAAUCCCUGAAUAUUUAAGAAAAGAAACAAUGGAAACUAGAUACCACAAGGCAGGGGAAGGAUACUCAAUGAAAAUAAGUCUAAGCAAAGACUAUACAAGACCAAUGUGGGAGCAACGUGGGAAAAGAUAAGAAUACAGAGAAGAGAGCCAUCAUGGAGAAGACCAUAACCUUCUACUGAGGCUUGCCCUGCAGAAGGACAUGACUUUCCCAAUGGGUCACCAUCGGAGAAGGUCAGGAUGAGGAAAGAGUGAGCUUUCUCCCAAGCUCUCCUUUGGAGUUCACUGCUUUCCACUCUGCCAUGAUAGAGAAGCACGCAAGCUCCAAGCAAGGGUGGGACAAAGAAGCAGUGGAAGCAGCUUACAACCUCAGCACCACACCCAUCAGCAAAGCAUAACCCUGGGAAGGUCAAGCAAGUGGACUGGCUGAUCCUCUCCACCAGAGCUUUUCCUUCUGAGUGCAGGGAAAAAAGGAUUCCUUCUGUUCAAGGUUAAUCUCUCCCUGUACAUUCGAGGUCCCUCCCUUCCUCUCUCUUCUGAGACUCAAGCCCAUUGAUCAUCUUUUCUCCCUUUAUUUUUUUAUGCACUUUCUACUCAGUCAUCUGGAUUGCCUAAGUCUCCUUCUCUACCCCAACA